rnacentral:lncRNA from 1 species
CAUCAUGUCAGCAAGCUCCAUGAAGUAUAAAAAGAAAAGAGAGUCAUUUAAUUUUUACUGUCCCUGUCAGGGCUGAGUCCCAAAGAGGGAGGAGAGCUGUGGUGCCGGCAAUCAGAAGAGACGAAGCUGCAAGCGUAUAUGGAUACCUGCAGGGUGGGUGAGGCAGAAGACAUGGAAAGAAAUAUAUACGAGCAGCUCUUCAAGCUUCGGACACUCCGGCAGGUGCCAGAAGCACUGCAAAGCAUUAUUCCAAGUAAAGGUAAUGCUGCCAGACCAUAGAGGCCAAAGCUUACUGGCAGAGGACAUGCUCUGCACAAAGAGGAUCCCAGGUUUCACCUCUGGCACCUCCUGCUUUUUUUAAAAAAGGUGGCUAAGUAUUAUUAGCAAAUACAUGUUUUUACGUGAGCCGCUGCCUCUGGAAGUGACAAUGUUGGGCUCAAUAGAAAAACUGAGCUAGUAUAAGGUGGUUUCUGUUUUCCUUCGGUCCUAGACAGUGGCUUAGCUAAAUAUUUUCUUUUCCUGCACCAGCAAAUAUUUUCUGAAUUAUCUGAUGAGUUCUGAAUUAAUAUAUUCUCUUCCACAACUCCCUCUGCU